CAGCAGUCAGGCGGCGAGUGAUAAAAUCCGUCGUCAAGAGGGAAACAACCCAGACUACCAGCUAAGGUCCCUAAAUCUUACUUAAGUGGAAAACGAUGUGAAGUUACUUAAACAACCAGGAGGUUGGCUUAGAAGCAGCCAUCCUUUAAAGAAAGCGUAAUAGCUCACUGGUCUAGUGAUUUUGCGCGGAAAAUAUAACGGGGCUAAAGUAAGUACCGAAGCUGUAGACUUAGUUUACUAAGUGGUAGGAGAGCGUUCUAUUUGCGUCGAAGGUAUACCGGUAAGGAGUGCUGGAGCGAAUAGAAGUGAGCAUGCAGGCAUGAGUAGCGAUAAUUAAUGUGAGAAUCAUUAACGCCGUAAACCCAAGGUUUCCUACGCGAUGCUCGUCAUCGUAGGGUUAGUCGGGUCCUAAGUCGAGUCCGAAAGGGGUAGACGAUGGCAAAUUGGUUAAUAUUCCAAUACCAACAUUAGUGUGCGAUGGAAGGACGCUUAGGGCUAAGGGGGCUAGCGGAUGGAAGUGCU
rnacentral:rRNA from 1 species